UGGGGAAUUUUGGACAAUGGGCGCAAGCCUGAUCCAGCAAUGCCGCGUGCAGGAUGAAGGCCUUCGGGUUGUAAACUGCUUUUGUACGGAGCGAAAAGGUCUGCCCUAAUACGGUGGGCUCAUGACGGUACCGUAAGAAUAAGCACCGGCUAACUACGUGCCAGCAGCCGCGGUAAUACGUAGGGUGCGAGCGUUAAUCGGAAUUACUGUGCGUAAAGCGUGCGCAGGCGGUUAUAUAAGACAGAUGUGAAAUCCCCGGGCUCAACCUGGGACAUGCAUUUGUGACUGUAUAGCUAGAGUACGGUAGAGAGGAAUGGAAUUCCACGUGUAGCAGUGAAAUGCGUAGAUAUGCGGAGGAACACCGAUGGCGAAGGCAAUACCCUAGACCUGUACUGACGCUCAUGCACGAAAGCGUGGGGAGCAAACA
rnacentral:rRNA from 1 species